rnacentral:rRNA from 1 species
GUGCCAGCAGCCGCGGUGAUACGGAGGGUGCAAGCGUUAAUCGGAAUUACUGGGCGUAAAGCGCACGCAGGCGGUUUGUUAAGUCAGAUGUGAAAUCCCCGGGCUCAACCUGGGAACUGCAUCUGAUACUGGCAAGCUUGAGUCUCGUAGAGGGGGGUAGAAUUCCAGGUGUAGCGGUGAAAUGCGUAGAGAUCUGGAGGAAUACCGGUGGCGAAGGCGGCCCCCUGGACGAAGACUGACGCUCAGGUGCGAAAGCGUGGGGAGCAAACAGGAUUAGAUACCCUGGUAGUCCACGCCGUAAACGAUGUCGACUUGGAGGUUGUGGCUUCCGGAGCUAACGCGUUAAGUCGACCGCCUGGGGAGUACGGCCGCAAGGUUAAAACUCAAAUGAAUUGACGGGGGCCCGCACAAGCGGUGGAGCAUGUGGUUUAAUUCGAUGCAACGCGAAGAACCUUACCUGGUCUUGACAUCCAGGUGCUGCAUGGCUGUCGUCAGCUCGUGUUGUGAAAUGUUGGGUUAAGUCCCGCAACGAGCGCAACCCUUAUCCUUUGUUGCAAUUCAAAGGAGACUGCCAGUGAUAAACUGGAGGAAGUGGGGAUGACGUCAAGUCAUCAUGGCC